GGGAAGGAGGGGGAGGAGAGAAGAGAAGGUGGAGAAGGCUUGGACUCGCGCCGCUGAAGUCAGCUUACCCGCUGGCCGCCUCCUGACAAGCGGGAGGGAUCCGCGGUGGACCCAGGGAAGCGGAGGAGCCUGGCGGCCACCCCCUCUUCCCCACUUCCCUGCACUCUCAUCGCUCUCGGCCUCGGCCUCGGCCUCCGACACGAAAAGGAAGCAAAUGAGCUGAUGGAAGAUCUGUUUGAAACUUUCCAAGAUGAGAUGGGAUUCUCCAACAUGGAAGAUGAUGGCCCAGAAGAGGAGGAGCGUGUGGCUGAGCCUCAACCUAACUUUAACACCCCUCAAGUUCUACGGUUUGAGGAACUACUGGCCAACCUACUAAAUGAACAACAUCAGAUAGCGAAGGAACUAUUUGAACAGCUGAAGAUGAAGAAACCUUCAGCCAAACAGCAGAAGGAGGUAGAGAAGGUUAAACCCCAGUGUAAAGAAGUUCAUCAGACCCUGAUUCUGGACCCAGCACAAAGGAAGAGACUCCAGCAGCAGAUGCAGCAGCAUGUUCAGCUCUUGACACAAAUCCACCUUCUUGCCACCUGCAACCCCAAUCUCAAUCCGGAGGCCAGUAGCACCAGGAUAUGUCUUGGUCUUGCUCUCUCACCCAGGAUGGAGUGCGGUGGAACAAUUUCAGUUCACUGCAACCCCUGCCUCCCGGGUUCAAGUGAUUGUCCUGCCUCAGCCUCCCAAGUAGCUGGGACUACAGGCGGGCACCACCACGGAAAGAGCUGGGAACCUUUGCUCAAAGCUCCAUCGCCCUUCACCAUCAGUACAACCCCAAGUUUCAGACCCUGUUCCAACCCUGUAACUUGAUGGGAGCUAUGCAGCUGAUUGAAGACUUCAGCACACAUGUCAGCAUUGACUGCAGCCCUCAUAAAACUGUCAAGAAGACUG
rnacentral:sRNA from 1 species